GUGUCGUUGGCAACAUGAUGGAGAUCAAUGUCAGGCCUGAUUCUGCCUUCUUGUGGAUUGUGAAUGUCUUGUCCCCCUGCUGACCGUGUCGGGAACCCACCAUGGACUGGGACAGCGGGGACGCCUUAUAUUGGCGUAUAUUGCAUUGUCUUCGGCAACACCGCUCGGGACGGGACGCGGGACCUCUGAAAUUUCUAACGACAACUACAACAUCGACGGCACAGCCACGGCCGAUGUAGAUUUCAUCAACAAAUAAAAUGUAGAAACGAACAAAAUCCUAAUUUUUUUGAGCGGUCGAUCUCCUGAAAUCGCCAUCAUGUUUCGUUUUGUAAUUAGCCGGCAAACGACCCGAUGCAUUUCUCGGUUGAUGAGAAAAUGCCCCGAGGUCAAUUCAAAUACUCUCGCGGUGAUGCCACACUAUUUUAGCUCAGUAUCUGCUCAAAAUCGGCACAAACUCCCAGGCACUUUUCAUGAGGUUCAAUUUCAAGGACAACAAGUGCGAACAUAUUCUAGCAGCUACACUGAUCUUUCAUACGAACAGUUCCUCUCGCUGCUGGAGAGCAAAGAUAUUCAGUUAUUCGAUGUGCGGGAGCCUGAGGAGUGUCGGACGACUGGCGUCAUACCAUCUGCUGUCAAUAUCCCGUUGGGCGAGGUGAAAAAGGCAUUCUCAAUGAGCGAAAGCGAGUUCGUACAAAAAUAUAGGGUCAAUAUGCCAUCAAAAAUGGAUCGCAAUGUUGUCUUUUAUGGGCUUGGCCCAAUUAAGAGCACAGCUGCAUUAGAGCUUGUUCACAAAGUGGGAUAUAAAAAUGGGUACCGUACCAGAGGCGUUUCAAAAACCGCCCGAGGAAUUUAGAGAAUCGUAUGGAGUGGAAAAGCCAGGAAAAGAUGAUGCCAAUAUUGUCUUCAGUUGUUUAGGUGGGGUGCGGAGUCGGAGAGCCCUCAAUGCAGUUACAGAGCUUGGAUUUAAAAAUGCACGUCAUUACAUUGGAGGUUGGGAGGAAUGGCAGAUGAGGCAGAAAUCACAACACUAGGCAUUUCAGCAGCGUUCCACCAGGGGGCAGUAGCAUCAUUAUUAUCAAUGGCCUUUUAGGCUCUAAUGAAUUUAAUGGGUAAACCAGAUGGGUUCAGUUAUUGUUAGGGGACAAAAAUUAUGCUCAUGUUGAAAUGCAACUAAAGCAUGCAUUGCCGUUUUGCUCAUAGCUUUAGUUCUUUGAUCAAGUUCUUCCGUGUUAAGUGGGUGGUUGUUUGUGCUUUAAAUCACUUGCGAGACUGGUGCUCGGGAGGAUUGAUUAUAUCAUCUGACAUUAUUGCAGGGAACACUGUGUUGUAUGUGUUUUAGACAAUCCUCAGCAGAUUGUGCACUUUUCAUAUGCCUGUUUGCCUGUUAUGUGAUUCUCACAUUCAAAGUGACAUGGUCAUAGCUCUUAUCAUCAUACAGCCUUGAGCGUAAACUAUGUAAAGCAGUUUUUGCGGUGUUACCCUUUAAGAGUUUAAUGAACAAUAACUUGGCGAUCGUGUUAGCCAUGAAGAAUGUUGACCUGUUCCCUUUACUUGUCAAGUUGUGCUUAUCCAGUUCUUGUUGAAAAGAAUCCCCGUUGAUUCCUCAUCAGUUGUUAUAAAUCUGUACCCGGCUUGAAAUGGUCUUCUCCAAAUUAUUGUCAUUAGUGAUGUUAAUGAAAUUAACAUGGUCACCAUGUAAUAUAUUUAGGUAAAUAAUGUAGAAGUAAUCAUUUCAAUAAGACAGCUUCCUGAGAA